CGGAUCGCAGGCUGNAACCCGCCUGCGUGAAGUUGGAAUCGCUAGUAAUCGCGGAUCAGCAUGCCGCGGUGAAUACGUUCCCGGGCCUUGUACACACCGCCCGUCACACCAUGAGAGUCGGGAACACCCGAAGUCCGUAGUCUAACCGCAAGGGGACGCGGCCGAAGGUGGGUUCGAUAAUUGGGGUGAAGUCGUAACAAGGUAUC
rnacentral:rRNA from 1 species